ACAAAUAAAAUGCUCCGCUAGGCGCAGCUUGAUACGACCGCAGAGGUCGAACCCUCAACAGUUGGGGCAAGUAUGGACACAACAUUCAAGCUUGAUACAGCACUGAAUUUGGAUUGUGAUUAAAUAUUUGACACAGCAUAGGUUUCUGACACAGAAUGAAUGUGGUCUAAGAACUUAAAAUUUUUAAUUUACCUAUUCAAACCAUAUCAUUAUUAUUUGCUUUUAUAUAUAAAUCAGAAAUAACCAAUUUAAAAUGGAAAA